AUUGAACGCUGGCGGCAGGCCUAACACAUGCCAGUCGAGCGGAUGAAGGGAGCUUGCUCCUGGAUUCAGCGGCGGACGGGUGUGUAAUGCCUAGGAAUCUGCCUGGUAGUGGGGGAUAACGUCCGGAAACGGGCGCUAAUACCGCAUACGUCCUGAGGGAGAAAGUGGGGGAUCUUCGGACCUCACGCUAUCAGAUGAGCCUAGGUCGGAUUAGCUAGUUGGUGGGGUAAAGGCCUACCAAGGCGACGAUCCGUAACUGGUCUGAGAGGAUGAUCAGUCACACUGGAACUGAGACACGGUCCAGACUCCUACGGGAGGCAGCAGUGGGGAAUAUUGGACAAUGGGCGAAAGCCUGAUCCAGCCAUGCCGCGUGUGUGAAGAAGGUCUUCGGAUUGUAAAGCACUUUAAGUUGGGAGGAAGGGCAGUAAGUUAAUACCUUGCUGUUUUGACGUUACCAACAGAAUAAGCACCGGCUAACUUCGUG
rnacentral:rRNA from 1 species